rnacentral:rRNA from 1 species
ACAAUGAAGAGUUUGAUCCUGGCUCAGGAUGAACGCUAGCUACAGGCUUAACACAUGCAAGUCGCGGGGCAGCAUGGUCUUAGCUUGCUAAGGCUGAUGGCGACCGGCGCACGGGUGAGUAACGCGUAUCCGACCUGCCCUCCACCCGGGGAUAGCCUUUCGAAAGAAAGAUUAAUACCCGAUGGCACACGUCUCCUGCCUGGGAGGCGUGUUAAAGGUCCCGACCGGUGGCGGAUGGGGAUGCGUUCCAUUAGUUAGUUGGCGGGGUAACGGCCCACCAAGACGACGAUGGAUAGGGGUUCUGAGAGGAAGGUCCCCCACAUUGGAACUGAGACACGGUCCAAACUCCUACGGGAGGCAGCAGUGAGGAAUAUUGGUCAAUGGCCGUAAGGCUGAACCAGCCAAGUAGCGUGAAGGACGACGGCCCUACGGGUUGUAAACUUCUUUUAUAAGGGAAUAAAGUUGCGUACGUGUACGCAUUUGCAUGUACCUUAUGAAUAAGCAUCGGCUAACUCCGUGCCAGCAGCC